rnacentral:rRNA from 2 species
AGCAUCCGUAGCCGGCUGUUCAAGUUUCCGGUUAAAUCCACACGCUUAACGUAUGGGCUGCCGGAAAUACUGUUCAGCUAGGGAGUGGGAGAGGUGGACGGUACUCGGUAGGAAGGGGUAAAAUCCUUUGAUCUAUUGAUGACCACCUGUGGCGAAGGCGGUCCACCAGAACACGUUCGACGGUGAGGGAUGAAAGCUGGGGGAGCAAACCGGAUUAGAUACCCGGGUAGUCCCAGCUGUAAACGAUGCAGACUCGGUGAUGCAUUGGCUUGUGGCCAGUGCAGUGCCGCAGGGAAGCCGUUAAGUUUGCCGCCUGGGAAGUACGUACGCAAGUAUGAAACUUAAAGGAAUUGGCGGGGGAGC